GAUGAACGCUGGCGGCGUGCCUAAUACAUGCAAGUCGAGCGAACGGACGAGAAGCUUGCUUCUCUGAUGUUAGCGGCGGACGGGUGAGUAACACGUGGAUAACCUACCUAUAAGACUGGGAUAACUUCGGGAAACCGGAGCUAACACCGGAUAAUAUUUUGAACCGCAUGGUUCAAAAGUGAAAGACGGUCUUGCUGUCACUUAUAGAUGGAUCCGCGCUGCAUUAGCUAGUUGGUAAGGUAACGGCUUACCAAGGCAACGAUGCAUAGCCGACCUGAGAGGGGGAUCGGCCACACUGGAACUGAGACACGGUCCAGACUCCUACGGGAGGCAGCAGUAGGGAAUCUUCCGCAAUGGGCGAAAGCCUGACGGAGCAACGCCGCGUGAGUGAUGAAGGUCUUCGGAUCGUAAAACUCUGUUAUUAGGGAAGAACAUAUGUGUAAGUAACUGUGCACAUCUUGACGGUACCUAAUCAGAAAGCCACGGCUAACUACGUG
rnacentral:rRNA from 1 species